rnacentral:rRNA from 1 species
GAUGAACGCUGGCGGCGUGCCUAAUACAUGCAAGUCGAGCGAAUGGAUUAAGAGCUUGCUCUUAUGAAGUUAGCGGCGGACGGGUGAGUAACACGUGGGUAACCUGCCCAUAAGACUAGGAUAACUCCGGGAAACCGGGGCUAAUACCGGAUAACAUUUUGAACCGCAUGGUUCGAAAUUGAAAGGCGGCUUCGGCUGUCACUUAUGGAUGGACCCGCGUCGCAUUAGCUAGUUGGUGAGGUAACGGCUCACCAAGGCAACGAUGCGUAGCCGACCUGAGAGGGUGAUCGGCCACACUGGGACUGAGACACGGCCCAGACUCCUACGGGAGGCAGCAGUAGGGAAUCUUCCGCAAUGGACGAAAGUCUGACGGAGCAACGCCGCGUGAGUGAUGAAGGCUUUCGGGUCGUAAAACUCUGUUGUUAGGGAAGAACAAGUGCUAGGUGAAUAAGCUGGCACCUUGACGGUACCUAACCAGAAAGCCACGGCUAACUACGUGCCUGCAGCCGCCGCCG